GACGAACGCUGGCGGCGUGCUUAACACAUGCAAGUCGUACGGUAAGGCCCUUUCGGGGGUACACGAGUGGCGAACGGGUGCGUAACACGUGAGUAACCUGCCCACAACUUUGGGAUAACGCUAGGAAACUGGUGCUAAUACUGGAUAUGUGCUCCUGCUGCAUGGUGGGGGUUGGAAAGCUCCGGCGGUUGUAGAUGGACUCGCGGCCUAUCAGCUUGUUGGUGGGGUAGUGGCCUACCAAGGCGGCGACGGGUAGCCGGCCUGAGAGGGUGACCGGCCACAUUGGGACUGAGAUACGGCCCAGACUCCUACGGGAGGCAGCAGUGGGGAAUAUUGCACAAUGGGCGCAAGCCUGAUGCAGCAACGCCGCGUGCGGGAUGACGGCCUUCGGGUUGUAAACCGCUUUCAGCAGGGACGAAGCUUUUUGUGACGGUACCUGCAGAAGAAGCACCGGCUAACUACGUG
rnacentral:rRNA from 1 species